AUUAUGGUCAAAGUGGAUUAUACGAUUACGGUAUUUGAAGUUGUAAAGUAAUCAUAAAUUCUUGAAUUUAAGAUUGAAAAUAUAUAAUGAUUUGAUUUAGAAUGUGAAAGAAUUUAAAUUUUUUUUUAUCACAUUUUAAGAUUUCUUGAUCAUUAAAUAAAUUAAUAAACAUCUUAUAUUAGUCGUCAAAAUUAUUAUUAUUUUUUGUCUUUCAGUUACAAAGAUCAAUGUG
rnacentral:lncRNA from 1 species